rnacentral:rRNA from 1 species
GACGAACGCUGGCGGCGUGCUUAACACAUGCAAGUCGAACGAUGAUCUCCCGCUUGCGGGGGUGCUUAGUGGCGAACGGGUGAGUAAUACGUGAGUAACCUGCCCUUGACUCUGGGAUAAGCCUGGGAAACCGGGUCUAAUACUGGAUACUACUUCCUGCCGCAUGGUGGGGGGUGGAAAGUGUUUUACUGGUUUUGGAUGGGCUCACGGCCUAUCAGCUUGUUGGUGGAGUAAUGGCUCACCAAGGCGACGACGGGUAGCCGGCCUGGGUGGGUGACCGGCCACACUGGGACUGGGACACGGACCAGACUCCUACGGGAGGCAGCAGUGGGGAAUAUUGCACAAGGGGCGGGAGCCUGAUGCAGCGACGCCCCGGGAGGGAUGACGGCCUUCGGGUUGGAAACCUAUUUCAGCAGGGAAGAAGCCACAAGUGACGGUACCUGCAGAAGAAGCGCCGGCUAACUACGUG